UAGGGUUCGAUCAUGGCUCAGAACGAACGCUGGCGGCAGGCCUAACACAUGCAAGUCGAGCGCGCCUUCGGGCGAGCGGCGGACGGGUUAGUAACGCGUGGGAACGUGCCCAGAUCUACGGAAUAGCCACUGGAAACGGUGAGUAAUACCGUAUACGCCCUUAGGGGGAAAGAUUUAUCGGAUUUGGAUCGGCCCGCGUUAGAUUAGGUAGUUGGUGGGGUAACGGCCUACCAAGCCUACGAUCUAUAGCUGGUUUUAGAGGAUGAUCAGCAACACUGGGACUGAGACACGGCCCAGACUCCUACGGGAGGCAGCAGUGGGGAAUCUUGGACAAUGGGGGAAACCCUGAUCCAGCCAUGCCGCGUGAGUGAAGAAGGCCCUAGGGUCGUAAAACUCUUUCGCCUGUGAUGAUAAUGACAGUAGCAGGUAAAGAAACCCCGGCUAACUCCGUGCCAGCCGCCGCGGUAAUACA
rnacentral:rRNA from 1 species